GCGUGCGAUCAUACCAGUACUAAAUCACCAGAUCUCAUUAGAACUCCGUAGUUAAGGGUGCUUGGGCGAGAGUAGUAUUAAGAUGGGUGACCUUCCGGAAAGUCCUCGUAAUGCACCCC